GGCCAGCAGCCGCGGUAAUACGUAGGGUGCGAGCGUUAAUCGGAAUUACUGGGCGUAAAGCGUGCGCAGGCGGUUUGACAAGUCUGAUGUGAAAGCCCCGGGCUCAACCUGGGAACUGCGUUGGAAACUGUCAGGCUAGAGUGUGUCAGAGGGAGGUAGAAUUCCACGUGUAGCAGUGAAAUGCGUAGAGAUGUGGAGGAAUACCGAUGGCGAAGGCAGCCUCCUGGGAUAACACUGACGCUCAUGCACGAAAGCGUGGGGAGCAAACAGGAUUAGAUACCCUGGUAGUCCACGCCCUAAACGAUGUCUACUAGUUGUUGGAGGAGUGAAAUCCUUCAGUAACGCAGCUAACGCGUGAAGUAGACCGCCUGGGGAGUACGGUCGCAAGAUUAAAACUUAAAGGAAUUGGCGGGGGA
rnacentral:rRNA from 1 species